GAUGAAGAACGUAGCGAAAUGCGAUAAGUAAUGUGAAUUGCAGAAUUCAGUGAAUCAUCGAAUCUUUGAACGCACCUUGCGCCCUUUGGCCAUUCCGAAGGGCAUGCCUGUUUGAGUAUCAUGAACACCUCAACUCUUUAUGGUUUUCCAUGAUGAGCUUGGACUCUGGGGGUUUUGCUGGCUCACAGUCGGCUCCUCUAAAAUGAAUCAGCUUACCAGUGUUUGGUGGGUAUCAUGGGUGUGAUAACUAUCUACGCUUGUGGUUUUUCCACCAGGUAACCUUCAGCAGUGGAGGUUCGCUGGAGCUCAUAGAUGUCUCUCCUCAGUGAGGACAGCCCUUUGAAUGUUUGAUCUCAAAUCAGGAAGGACUACCCGCUGAACUUAAGCAUAUCAAUAAGCGGAGGA
rnacentral:misc_RNA from 1 species